UACGGAGGGGACUAGCGUUGUUCGGAAUUACUGGGCGUAAAGCGCACGUAGGCGGAUUUGUAAGUCAGGGGUGAAAUCCCGGGGCUCAACCUCGGAACUGCCUUUGAUACUGCAAAUCUCGAGUCCGGAAGAGGUGAGUGGAAUUCCUAGUGUAGAGGUGAAAUUCGUAGAUAUUAGGAAGAACACCAGUGGCGAAGGCGGGUCUCUGGGCCGAUAUUGACGCUGAGGAGCGAAAGCGUGGGGAGCGAACAGG
rnacentral:rRNA from 1 species